AUGAAUCGGGUGGUAUCCCUUGCUUGCUUUCCAGAGUCUCUCCUACCGCGCUCAGGGCCUUACGCGCCGGGCCUCCUUGCCCUUUCCCUCCCAGGCUGUCUCUGCCUCACCGCCCGCUUCUCCGAGGUCCCACGGCCAGUUGCUAUCCAGCACCUCGGACAGCUCCAGGAAGCGCGCCGGUCCGAGCGUAGGUGCACCGCCCCGAGGCUCUCAGGCUCAGCCCAGUGGCUCCUGGGGUCUCCUCUCCUCGGACUCCUGCCCCGGACAGGCCCCCUGCGGGCCCCCCAUCUCGAGCUUCCGAGAGCUCCGGGAAGUGCUCGCGGCGCCGGGCGGGACUUGCUGUGGGCGCGGCGUUCGCUCGCUUCCGGCUCCCGCAGCCGCGGGGAGGAGGCGGGGUGGCUCCGCGCUGCGGGUCCCUCGGCCCUGCGGCCCGGCUGGCGGUGGACGCGGUGUCACGGCCGGCCCCCUCGGGCCUUCCUCCCACAGUCCGCACGACCCCUGACCGCAGAGCUACGUCCGUGCGCCAAGAGGGCGUCCCCCGCCCGCUGGGCCCAGGGACCCGACGGCCGCAGGCCAGGUUCCCAAAUCAUGCUUCUUCCACCUCAUUUUCGGGAGUCCGCUGGAAGAGUUGACAAUCCAGGAAAGGCCGGGUUUCGCUUUGGAAGAAGUUCGUCUGGGAGUGUGCGGGCGGAGCUCGUGAAGUCCGGACCGCUGUGCCCUGAGGGAGCCCCGGCCCCGGGCACGGCCCCAUCCUCGCCCCUGCAGUUUUUCCUAAGUGCUGGGUUCCUUCAACUGGUCGCAGGGAUCGUGGACAUGCCUCAGCAGCGGACAGUAACGUUCUCACCUCAGACCAAGCCAGCAUGCGCCAUUCCUCCCCUGGGCCACCCCAACAACCCAGAAUUCGCCUCCGCCUCCCACCCCCUCCACCAGAGUCUUCUGAGUCAUGAGUCGGGUGGUGUCCCUUGCUUGCUUUCCAGAGUCUCUCCUACCGCGCUCAGGGCCUUACGCGCCGGGCCUCCUUGCCCUUUCCCUCCCUGGCUGUCUCUGCCUCACCGCCCGCUUCUCCGAGGUCCCACGGCCAGUUGCUAUCCAGCACCUCGGACAGCUCCAGGGAAGCGCGCCGGUCCGAGCGUAGGUGCACCGCCCCGAGGCUCUCAGGCUCAGCCCAGUGGCUCCUGGGGUCUCCUCUCCUCGGACUCCUGCCCCGGACAGGCCCCCUGCGGGCCCCCCAUCUCGAGCUUCCGAGAGCUCCGGGAAGUGCUCGCGGCGCCGGGCGGGACUUGCUGUGGGCGCGGCGUUCGCUCGCUUCCGGCCCGCAGCCGCGGGAGGAGGCAGGGUGGCUCCGCGCUGCGGGUCCCUCGGCCCUGCGGCCCGGCUGGCGGUGGACGCGGUGUCACGGCCGGCCCCCUCGGGCCUUCCUCCCACAGUCCGCACGACCCCUGA
rnacentral:lncRNA from 1 species